GGCGAGUGAAGCGGCAACAGCUCAAAUUUGAAAUCUGGCCCUAGGCCCGAGUUGUAAUUUGAGGGCCAUGCUUUUGGUGCGGUGCCUUCCAAGUUCCCUAGAACGGGACGCCAGAGAGGGUGAGAGCCCCGUACAGUUGGACACCAAGCCUUUGUAAAGCUCCUUCGACGAGUCGAGUAGUUUGGGAAUGCUGCUCAAAAUGGGAGGUAUAUUUCUUCUAAAGCUAAAUACCGGCCAGAGACCGAUAGCGCACAAGUAGAGUGAUCGAAAGAUGAAAAGCACUUUGAAAAGAGGGUUAAACAGCACGUGAAAUUGUUAAAAGGGAAGCGCUUGUGACCAGACUUGCGUCCGGUGAAUCACCCAGCUCUCGCGGCUGGGGCACUUCGCCGGCUCAGGCCAGCAUCAGCUCGCUGUCGGGGACAAAAGCUUCAGGAACGUAGCUCUCUUCGGGGAGUGUUAUAGCCUGUUGCAUAAUACCCUUCGGCGGGCUGAGGUACGCGCUCCGCAAGGAUGCUGGCAUAAUGGUCAUCAGCGACCCGUCUAAA
rnacentral:rRNA from 1 species